CACUUUCACAUUUUUAGAACGAGUAUAUCAGAAUAAGCAACAAAACUGCAGAAUAUCCCCAGCUUGCUUAAGCUUCCAGCUUCCAGGAUUCUUUCCUUUCUUUUGAGUUGAUGGUUAUGCUCCCGUUAGCAUGAUUUUUACUUUGGUUGGUCCACCUUGUAGAUCAUAGAAUCAUUAGUAUUCUAGAAUUGAUUUCGAUUCUAGUUUUGUACAAGGAAUUUGAUACCAGAUUCCACAAGUACAC
rnacentral:lncRNA from 1 species